rnacentral:tmRNA from 1 species
GGGGCUGAUUCGGUUUCGACAUUUACAAAUUAUUAUAAUAUGGCAGGUCGAAGUACGUAUACUUCGUAAAAAAAUACAAAUUUUAAAUAAAUGCUAAUAAUUUAAUUUCUUUUGCGUUUAAUGUAGUCAAAAAUAAACUUACUUUUAAUAAUCGACAAACUUAUUCAAAUAGAUUAAGUUUCGCCGUUUAAUAUUAGGCAUGUUUUACUAAAUAUAUUUUUUCACUAUAACUAGACUUUUUUGUUUUUUAUAGUUUAGAAUAAUUUUGAAUCUUAAUUUAUUGUUCAAACCCUUUGAACUAAACCUGUGAAUGACUAUAAUGGUAAUUUUUAGAUGGACGUGGGUUCAAUUCCCAUCAGCUCCA